rnacentral:rRNA from 1 species
UACGGGGGGGGCAAGCGUUGUUCGGAAUUACUGGGCGUAAAGGGCUCGUAGGCGGCCAACUAAGUCAGACGUGAAAUCCCUCGGCUUAACCGGGGAACUGCGUCUGAUACUGGAUGGCUUGAAUCCGGGAGAGGGAUGCGGAAUUCCAGGUGUAGCGGUGAAAUGCGUAGAUAUCAGGAGGAACACCUGUGGUGUAGACAGCUUACUGGACCACUUCUGACGCUGAGACACGAAAGCGUGGGUAGCAAACAGG